rnacentral:rRNA from 1 species
UACGUAGGGUGCAAGCGUUGUCCGGAAUUACUGGGCGUAAAGCGCACGUAGGCGGAUAUUUAAGUCAGGGGUGAAAUCCCGGGGCUCAACCCCGGAACUGCCUUUGAUACUGGGUAUCUCGAGUCCGAGAGAGGUGAGUGGAAUUCCGAGUGUAGAGGUGAAAUUCGUAGAUAUUCGGAGGAACACCAGUGGCGAAGGCGACUUACUGGACGAUUGUUGACGCUGAGGUGCGAAAGCGUGGGGAGCAAACAGG